GAUGAACGCUGGCGGCGUGCCUAAUACAUGCAAGUCGAGCGAACAGACGAGGAGCUUGCUCCUCUGACGUUAGCGGCGGACGGGUGAGUAACACGUGGACAACCUACCUAUAAGACUGGGAUAACUUCGGGAAACCGGAGCUAAUACCGGAUAAUAUAUUGAACCGCAUGGUUCAAUAGUGAAAGACGGUUUUGCUGUCACUUAUAGAUGGAUCCGCGCCGCAUUAGCUAGUUGGUAAGGUAACGGCUUACCAAGGCAACGAUGCGUAGCCGACCUGAGAGGGUGAUCGGCCACACUGGAACUGAGACACGGUCCAGACUCCUACGGGAGGCAGCAGUAGGGGAUCUUCCGCAAUGGGCGAAAGCUUGACGGAGCAACGCCGCGUGAGUGAUGAAGGUCUUCGGAUCGUAAAACUCUGUUAUUAGGGAAGAACAAAUGUGUAAGUAACUAUGCACGUCUUGACGGUACCUAAUCAGAAAGCCACGGCUAACUACGUG
rnacentral:rRNA from 1 species